GGAUGUGAGGGCGAUCCGGCUGUGACAUCUGUCACCCACGGAUCACCAGGGUUUGCUCAUUCGGCUGAUCUGGCUGGCUUGGCUGGUGUCCCCUUCCUCCCUCACCGCUCCAUGUGCGUCCUCCCUGAAGCUGCAUGUUAGGUGGGAGAGGACGCCCACCCCCAACAGAGGACAGAGGAGGACCGUUUCCUCUGUCAAGGGUAGCUGCCCUCCCCUGCUAGAAACUCCAAAACCAAACCAAAACCAAAACAAACAAACAGCAGCAAAAAGAAAAUGAGAUAAUGAAUAUAUAAUGACCGUCACACUGU
ensembl:misc_RNA 7SK 7SK RNA